rnacentral:misc_RNA from 1 species
GAAAUGCGAAAAGUAGUGUGAAUUGCAGAAUUCAGUGAAUCAUCGAAUCUUUGAACGCACAUUGCGCCCCUUGGUAUUCCAUGGGGCAUGCCUGUUCGAGCGUCAUUUGUACCUUCAAGCACUGCUUGGUGUUGGGUGUCUUGUCCCGCGUUUUUGCGUCGGACUCACCUUAAAGUUAUUGGCAGCCGGCAUACUAGCCUUGGAGCGCAGCACAUUUUGCGCCCCUCGACCUGCGUGUUGGCAUCCACUAAGCCUACAAUUUUUUACUCUUGACCUCGGAUCAGGUAGGGAUACCCGCUGAACUUAA